CAAAAACAUUGCCUUAAGAAUUUAUUAUUUAAGGUAAAUUCCUGCCCAGUGAUAAAUUUUAUUAAACGGCCGCGGUAUCCUAACCGUGCAAAGGUAGCAUAAUCACUUGCCCGUUAAUUGCGGACUAGAAUGAAUGGACCAACGAAAUAUGAGCUGUCUCUAUUAUUACCCUAAAAAUUAAAAUUUAGAUGAAGAUGUCUAUAUAUACUCAAAGGACAAGAAGACCCUGUAGAGCUAAAGAGUAAAAAAAUUAAUUAUAUAUCUCGUUGGUUGGGGCGACCAAAGGAUUAUAUUUAUCACCUAAUAAUAUAAGAUCAAUAUAUCUAGUCUAUUGACCCAUAAACCCAUGAUCAAAAAAUAAAGCUACCUCAGGGAUAACAGGCUAAUCCCACUAAAGAGUCCUUAUCCACAGUGGGGGUUGGCACCUCGAUGUUGGCUUAGGGAAUCUAAGAUACGCAAAAGUAUUUCAAGAUGGUUUGUUCAACCAAUAACCCCCUACGUGAUCU
rnacentral:rRNA from 1 species